UCCUUCUGUUUCAACCCCAUCUGGUUACAUCCGAUGCCAUCGGGGUUCUUGUGAGACCGAGCUUGAGAAUGCGAAGUGAAGAGGCAAGGCCAAAAUUGAGGCGAAUCCAGGGACAUGGGGAUAGGUCUCCGGUACGAACUCAGAAAGUGACUGGAGGAUAUGGCUGGAGGAAGAAAUGGGCGAGGAAUAAACGCGGUGCCCUGGAAAUAUUGAAGACAAAAUUGGGCCCAAAAUAAAUUAUUUACUGAGAAGCGUAUCAUUUCCUUGCGUUUUAUUUGGUAGUUCCUUGAUGUGGAGAUAAUAAUAUAGGAGCUGUUGGUAUGGUUGGCCUGAGAUAAGUGACCCCGGAGGAGCUUGAAUGAGAGUGAAUAUGAGGAUACGUCGGCAUUUAAUUCAACGAACCCUUUUCUACAAGACCCAUUGUCUGUGGGGGAAUUAAGAAGGAAAUAAGGAGGCAAGAGUGAUUCCAACAUUUCCAAGCCAGAUUGCUUCUUUUUCCCCUUUUUGUUUACUUAGUCCAGAUUCCUGCCAAAAAGGAAUUAACAUUCUUGGAGAUGUUGGAAAAAGAUUCCUGGGCCUUGGAAGAUAAUUACUCCAAAUAUACAGGGGAGUGGGAGGAGGGUGAAGCAGAGACAUCAGUUUUCCAGACUCUGACUUGGUAAGCCUCAGUUCCUUGAUGGCUUUUGGCUAAAGACUUCAGUUCUUCACCAUGUGAACAUAGGCUGCCUGAGUAUCCGCACAACAUGACAACUGGCUUCCACCAGAGGGAAUGAUCCAAGAGAGAAAUGCCAAGAUGACAUGGAGGUGGACACGUACAAGGGUGUGAAUACCAAGGGUGGAGGAUUGUUGGGGAUCCUCUUGGAGGAAUGAAAUUAAGGGUUUUUCAUAAAGAACAUCAUUUUGUCAGAUUUAUCUGAUAAAAAAUGUGAACGUUUAUAUAGUAAGGUAAGAGGUUUAUUAAUUUGUUAAUUUUGGCGAACAGAAAAUCAGAUUUCAGCAAACAAUAUGUGAGCAUAAUGUGGAUAUCAUACUCAAAUUUUUUUCCCUUUCACCUUUGAAAGAUAAUUUUCUAAAUCAAUAGAUUUGAUUCAGGAUUGGCAAUUGGGUGGCUGGGGUCAGGACUUUUAACCUUGAUGAUCAUCUUUUCUCAGAAACAAUAAUGUAAUUCAGGCCCUGAAAUUCUUAGAGAUCAUAUAUUCCAGGGUUUAAAUUUGCUGAACUUUUGGAUCAUCUAUAAAUGACUCUUUGAUAUGCCACUGAAUGACCAUCCUGUAACUUAAGCUUUAUUCAAGAACAGUAGAUAAGUAGGUAGUCAAAAGCUGGAAAUCUCAAAUCUAAUACCAGAUUAGUCUGUCAGUAUGCAUGUAGUCUUGGAGUGUUUCAAAUCAGGAAUAUAAAGGAGAAAAAUAUUUGCAAAUACUCAAAAUUGAUUCACACACAUUUUCAUUUCAUAAAUUUCUAUAAACAUAAAAGUUAAUGUAAACUUUGCUUAUAUGCCUUAAUGAAAAGAUGUACAAAAUAAGUGCAUUCAAAAACAAAACUAAAACAUUAAUGAGAUGGAUGCUACUGUUACAGAAGUAAACAUAGUGCUUGCUGGCUGGUAUGGAAUAAGUUGUAAACACAUACAGUCUUGUGCCUUGUGAUGACUGUAAAGCUUUACAGCCUGGACGACAGUAGAUUUGGCCAGAACUUUACUUUUUUGCAGACCUCAAUAUUACUGAAAUGAGGGGAGGGGGCCUAAAUUCUUAAAAGGAUGUCGUUGGACUGUCUGCAAAUCCUAAUAUGAAGAAUUAUGUAUUUGUCUCCAAACAUUUUUCCAGCUCCAAUGAGUAAUUCAGUCUGGAACUAACAUUCCUUUGAGAAAACCUUUGGUUUUUAUUUUGAUCUAUAGUUAUGUUUGACCAGUAGUUAAAUUGGGUUAAAAGUUGACUAUUUUGUGAACUAAUACAAGUUUUUCUUUUUAGAUACAGGUAGUCCUUACUUUGCAUCAUUCCAAUAUACGUGAAGAUCAGUUUUCACAGUUUAGUUAAAUAACAUCAAUUCCCCUACAACAUGGUUGAAAUUUCAGUUACCACAAUAGUAACCAAAUUGUUGCAUAAGCAUUGCUGGUAGCUCUUUAUUCCACAAAUGAUUAUGCAUAUAAAAGAUUGUCAGUAACCACUUAUAUCACUUCUUUCAAAAGUCUGUUGGUGAUUGAUCACUUAACAUCUGUUAGUUCACACAGAGUAAAGCAUGUAGUUGUGUUGCCUAGUUUUCCAGUGAUAAACCCCCCGACAUUUUACAAAAAUGGAUAAUCAAGAGGGAAUUGGUCAACAAAGAUGACAGGGCAGCAAAGAAACAAAAAGUGGUAACACUGGAAGUGAAAUUGGACGUCAUUAGAAGAUUUGAAAAUGGUGACAGCAUAGUGAAGACAAGAUGAGACCUAGGCUGACAUGAACCUAUAGUACGAACCAUCUUUUAAAAGUUCAGUGAAACUUUUAGGUAAAGUUGCUUCAACAUUUUUUACUUUAAAUUGUACUAGGAACAGAAAGCCAUGUAUGGUUGAAAUGGAAUGUUUACUUCUACUUGGGACUGAGGACUCUAAUAAAAAACAAAUCCCAAUCAGUUUGGCUAGCAUUCAAGCCAAAGUGUUGAGGUUAGUUGCUGCACUGAAGGAAAAUGGUUAACUACAAGGAGACUGAAAAAGAACAUUUUACUGCUAAUAAAGGCUGGUUUCGUCGUUUGUAAAGUCGGCAUGAAUUGAUUAAUUUUCUGCUAUCUGGUGAAGCUGCAAGCUCAGAUAAGGAUGCUACUGUGAAAUUUGCACAUUAUUCCAAGAAUCAUAGGCAGUCCUUGCUUUGUACAUUAGAAGACUACUGUGUAAAAACAUCACAGGGUUUGGCUGUAAUGUAAAUGGAGUUCUAGAAGAUACAGAUGACUGGGAAUGUUAACACUGCUGCUACUUCAAGUAGUCUAGAUAUACAGCCAGAAGAAUUUAGUGAAGGUGAACAUAGUUAUAGAGGAGGAAAGCCAUUGUGUGUUGUAAAGGAUGAAUACGUUUCAGAGGAAGUGAUGCAGGUGACAAACCACAUUAAAGGAACUCUCAGAUAUUUCAUGACAUUGAAUGCGUAAAGAAUAAAAUUUUAGAAGCAGAUCCAAACUCAGGAGUAUGACAGUUUGCCAAGGUGAAGAAAAGAUUCUUGCUCCAUAUUGUAAAUUACAUGAGAAAGCAAGCACUAUUCAAACUACUGUUGAGACUUUUCUGUAAAUAAAACGCUACAAUUUUCAA